CGGGAGAAUAAAACAUUUAAAAGAAGACAUAAUCUCUGACUUCAAGAGGCUCCUGGUUUUUAGGGAGACAGAUACAUAAACAAGUAUGUAGAGAGUAUAAUGAUUACUGCUAUAGGCAGUCAUAUAUUUAAUACUUACAGUCCUUUAACUCAGUAGAAUGAUCAGUAGAACACUGUAAGCACCAUUACUUAAGUGUCUAUAAACCCAAUAUAUCUCAAAAAAGUAGUGCUUGUGCUUAUUGUUAAGUACAUUCUAGUAACUGUACAGUUAGAUGGUUAAGUGAGACAUUACUUCUCUAUGUAUACAGGUGAUGGUGCUCCCUUUAGUGAGUCAUUUAAAAUUAUCUAGAUAUGUAAUGAAUUAAUGAUUAUCCAGAGUGGAAGGAUCAGGUUACUCAAGGGGAUCACAGGCAGGAUCAGGAAAUACUUCCUUGCAAAUUAUUUAUGCACCAGGCUAGACUCACCACCACGAAACAGGAGCUGAGAGGAAAGGCCCUGGGUGUCUGGAAGCCUCAUGUGCUCCAUCUCAAGUUGAACUCCAGAGUCAUUCGAUGUUCAUGCUGUUUGCCACUUGGCAAUUCUAAUCUAUCAACAGAUGUCUGGAUAGAGCACUUUUGUGCAUAGAGCCUUUGAAAGAAGUCAGAGCUAAGGAAACUCACCAGCUCCUUUAGAGACAAAAACUCACAAGGCACACACGUUGUGGUCCGAUCUUUAUGGCUGUGUGGGAGAACUACAGUGUGAUUUCAGACUUUUUCUUGGCAUGUGGAGUCUGUUAAUCCUGAAACUUCAAAAUGUACAUAUUUCCCCCAAAUGAGAUGUAAGUCUGUUGAGUUAAUUAUCAUACAAUUAUAGCAAUGGAAAAGAAAACCCUCAUCAAACGUGAACAGCUUGUCUAACUAUUAACCAGACCAUGGUGAACCAUUACUUAGCUCUGACUUGCAUGAUCCAUCAUAGACUUUUGGCCCUCUGUGAACAAAUGCUUAAAUGAGUUCAUAGUCAUUUAAAACUGAAAGGCCUGACUGCCUGGGUUCUUGUGAUUGUCUUUAAAUUGUUCAGUCAUUAUAUUUUACUGGCAUGAAGUUAUGGCGAUCUUCCUCUCUUCUCCAUGUGAUAGGAAAGAGCUGGCAGGUCAUGGUCAUGAAAGACAUAGCUUUGCAGGACUUUGACCUACUAAAGUGGUGAUUUGUUUUAUAACAUUUCUACUUAUAUUCCCUUAAGCUGCUAAAAAUACAUUAGAAGUCAAAUCCCUCUGAAUAAGUUUUCUUUCUAGGAAGAGCCAGAGUCCAAAGCAUUGUAUUCAGGGUGUCUUUUAGAAUUAGUCCAAUUUGCACUAUUUUCAGGAUAAUUCAGCUAUUGCCAGUAUUAUAGCAGUCAAAUACAAAAUGACCCAGGUGCAGCAUGGUGAACUUUUGGUUUACAGUUUUAAAUUCAAGAGGCCACUUUCGAUUGAUACAAGGAUAUGAAAUUCGGGUUUAUUCUGGUUGAAUAGGUUGAAGUUUAGGACUGGGAAGGAAAAAGAGGAAGGAUAAAGCCAAUCAGAUGGUAUGAUAUCACAUUCAAGACCAAGUAAUGAGACUGUGAGCUCAUUUUAUCCUCAGGCACACUAGAAAGUAGGCAUACUACACAGUAACAGCCAACUUUUUGUUCAUUCUAACUCUUACCACACCGAGCUUUCCUUGGUGUCAGCCACAGGGGUCACUAAGCCAUCAGCUGAUCAGGAAAGGUAGGAACUAGAAUUUUUUUUUUAAAUAUAAUUUGUAAAGUUUAUUUACUUUUAUUUUUCUUUUUUACUUUAAAUUCCAGGAUACAUGUGCAGAACGUGCAGGUUUGUUACAUAGGUAUACGUGUGCCAUGGUGGUUUACUGUACCUAUUGACCCAUCCUUUAAGUUCCCUCCCCUUGCCCCCACCUCCCAACAGGCCCUGGUCUGUGUUGUUCCCCUCCCAGUGUCCAUGUGAAACUGGAAUUUUCUACGGUACUAUGUGGUGUCACGGACUCAGUCAAAGGUAAGACUGAUUGAAUGUGGAACAGAUUCAUUUAUCUUGGGCUUUGACAGAGUGAGACGUUUAGAAAUGGAGGCAAGUAGCUGACUUUAAUUUUGCAAACACAGGCUUAACUACUGCAAAUGAGCUUUUCUAUUGACAAAAAGUGUCUAGAUAACAUUUAUUUUGUUGUUGUUACUUCCCCAUAGCUAGGGUCUGGGCAAUGGGAGGAGGAGAAAGAAAUGUGGUGAAAAGAGAGGGUGGAGGUGAAUCUCUGCUGAUGGUGUUGUUGAAGCUGCCACAGCAACCACCAAUGGUAACCACCCUGAAGGCACUCUUUGUAAACAAACAGGCUGUUCCCAUGAAAGUAUCAGUCUCAUAAGACCAAUAUCAGCAAGCGUAUUGUGCGUUCCUUUUUUUCCAAUCCAGCCUUCUGCUAACAAGAAAAGAAAAGCAAACAUCUUGGGAAUAAGAACCCAGUAGGGGUGAAUAUUCCAAGAUGCUUUGAAUGUCAAGACUUGCUUUCCAAGCUUACCUUGCUUCCUGUAAGCAUUUUGAAAAAUUGAAAAUAAGCUGUGGAAGAGAUCCCAAGUAGAGGUUUGCUUGGGGAGAAGAUUCCAGUAAGAAUAAAGUUUAUGAUAAAGAUCCCAGGCCAUGACUUGGAAAAAGUCAAGCUUAGAAGAAC
ensembl:lncRNA